rnacentral:rRNA from 1 species
UGAGGAAUAUUGGUCAAUGGGGGCAACCCUGAACCAGCCAAGUCGCGUGAAGGAUGAAGGUCUUAUGGAUUGUAAACUUCUUUUACACGGGAAUAAAGUGGGGGACGUGUCCCCCUUUGCAUGUACCGUGUGAAUAAGGAUCGGCUAACUCCGUGCCAGCAGCCGCGGUAAUACGGAGGAUCCGAGCGUUAUCCGGAUUUAUUGGGUUUCAAGGGUGCGCAGGCGGGAUGUUAAGUCGGCGGUGAAAUUUUGCAGCUCAACUGUAAAAGUGCCUUCGAUACUGGCCUCCUUGAGUGUGGAUGAAGUAGGCGGAAUUUGUGGUGUAGCGGUGAAAUGCUUAGAUAUCACGAGGAACUCCGAUUGCGCAGGCAGCUUACUAAGCCACAACUGACGCUCAUGCACGAAGGCGUGGGGAUCAAACA